rnacentral:tRNA from 1 species
GGGUUCAUAGCUCAGUGGUAGAGUAUUUAACUGUAGAUCAAGAUGUCACUAGUUUGAACCUGGUUGAGCCUG